rnacentral:rRNA from 1 species
UUCUGCCCUAUCAACUUGUUGAUAAGGUAUUGGCUUACCAAGGUUGCAACGGGUAACGGGGAAUCAGGGUUCGAUUCCGGAGAGGGAGCCUGAGAAACGGCUACCACAUCCAAGGAAGGCAACAGGCGCGAAAAUUACCCAAUCUAGACAGUAGGAGGUGGUGAAGAGAAUUACUAGGUGGCGACUCAAUGAGUUGCCAGUUUGGAAUGAACGUAACUCAAGAAAUUCGAUGAGAAACAACUGGAGGGCAAGUCCUGGUGCCAGCAGCCGCGGUAAUUCCAGCUCCAGUAGUCUGCGCUAAAGUUGUUGCGUUUAAAACGCUCGUAGUUGGAUCACGCAGCUGUGCUCAGUAAUCUGAGUCGGUCAGCCACUCGACGCCGUUUCGACGAAAUCUUGUGCCACCGAUCAGAUGCAACGCUGAGCACUGCUAGUUGCACGUGAGAUGAAUUGUUGGCCUUAAAUGCGCCGGUAUUCUCGUCUUGCGGAGUGUGCCUUGAAUAAAACAGAGUGCUUAAAGCAGGUCAUUGCCUGAAUGUUAUAGCAUGGAACGAACAAUCGUGUAUUAGCGUGUGCCUCAGUUUGGUAGCGAGCCUCGGGUUUGUUGUCGGACUAGUCGCACGCGGCACCCACCAAAUAUGGCUGUUGGUUCCCAUAUACGGUGAUGAUUAACAGGAGCGAUUGGGGGCAUCGGUAUUUGAUCGCGAGAGGUGAAAUUCUUAGACCGAUCAAGGACUAACAAAUGCAAAGGCACUUGUCUAGACCGUUUCCAUUAAUCAAGAACGAAAGUGGGAGGUUCGAAGAUGAUCAGAUACCAUCGUAGUUCCCACUGUAAACUAUGCCGACCUGGGAUUAGUUUACAGAUGUUACAAGCUGUAGAUUGGUCCCCCCGCGAAACC